CUCUGUUCCCCACUCUGUUUUAAAACCUUGUUUCAUUCAUGUUAGCAGCUCAUAAAUGGCCGCCCACAGCCUCAGCAAAAACAAGCCGAGGCCCUUCACUUUUAUACGACGCAAUCUGCUGUGGGGCCUUAAUCACCUCCCUGUAUUUUUAAUAGAGGAGGCUUAGGUUUGAUAAGAGGUAAUACAGAGGGCAGGAAUGUGUUCCUAUAUUGGGCAAAAAAACAGCUGUAUGCAACUUUUAGAACAUAAUUGGUAAAAAACUGACAUGAAGAGAUGUGUUUUCCUGUUAUGGUAAGUGAAAGCAUCCUUCUUGUUAGGCCAGUAUAAACAUGCGUCAUUAAAAUAGAGUCUAAUGGCCAUAAGCCCUGGGGCCCAACAGUGUCAAAGGGCCCCACAGUCCAGAGUCUGGGUGAAGUGGCUAUUAUUAGUAUUUCAGUCUGCAGAAAGCAAAGACUCAGUGAUAUGUGUCAGUAACUGAAAGAUUUUAAACAUUCUCAAAAUAUUCAGCAGAGUGACAGUCUGUGUAAACUUACGAGAAUUAGGACUUAAGGUGAAUUACAUUUGAAGAUAUCAAUAUUUAGUGAGAUGUCAGUUAAAAAUCCAGGAAUGUUUUGGUUUGCCAAUGAAGACAGAAUUAAACAGGUUUUUAUUUUUUUAUUUUGUUUUUGUUUUUUUAAACACCUGCUGAUUUUUUGUUCCCAAAGUCUGGAAAAGACAUGUGAUUGGAUUUAGCAUUUGGAAGCUAUGUUGCUAUCCUGGUUCUGCUUUCUUUUGUUAUCAUUGGGCUGCGCAAUGAAUCAAUGACUCAAAACCAACAUUCCCAACUUCAAAUCGAUGUAAUCGUCAUGUAAAUCCAUGUCAGUAAUGUGAUUUUUGUUUGUUUGUUUUAAAAUUCUGCAAAUGCUUCCCUGUUAUCUACUGUCCCCUUUAAAAAACACUACAGUGUGCUGUCACAUGACGCCGCCCUGUCCCGUCUGCAACAUGGAAACAUGAUGGAGUCGAACAGUUUGUAGCAGACACAAAUGCCGUGUCUGUUGUUUGGCGACGUUUUUUUUUUUCAUGGUAAAGAUGUCGUCAAACUUGGAGCACCAUCAUAUCAUCAAAAAUGAUCCAAAAUUUAGCAGUUGAGCACAUUUACAGUGCAAACCUUGUGUGUGUGUUAAUGUUAAUUGUUCAUUAAUCAAAAUCAAGGUAAAAAUAUUAAUUACUUGUGAUUUAAUCUGAGAUUGUUUCACAUAAAGACAUAGAAGCAACAUAUAUA
ensembl:lncRNA